UACGUAGGGUGCGAGCGUUGUCCGGAAUUACUGGGCGUAAAGCGUGCGCAGGCGGUUCGUUAAGUUCGUUGUGAAAGCCCCGGGCUCAACCUGGGAACUGCAAUGGAAACUGGCGGGCUUGAGUGUGGCAGAGGGGGGUGGAAUUCCGCGUGUAGCAGUGAAAUGCGUAGAGAUGCGGAGGAACACCGAUGGCGAAGGCAGCCCCCUGGGCCAACACUGACGCUCAGGCACGAAAGCGUGGGGAGCAAACAGG
rnacentral:rRNA from 1 species